UAAGGUGGGCACUCCAGGGAGACUGCCGGUGAUAAACCGGAGGAAGGUGGGGAUGACGUCAAAUCAUCAUGCCCCUUAUGACUUGGGCUACACACGUGCUACAAUGGAUGGUACAAAGGGUAGCAAGACCGCGAGGUUGAGCUAAUCUCUUAAAACCAGUCUCAGUUCGGAUUGUAGUCUGCAACUCGCCUCCAUGAAGUCGGAAUCGCUA
rnacentral:rRNA from 1 species